UGGCACGCGAUCCAGUCCUCCGUCAAUCUGCAGCGUCUCUGACAGACGGCUGGCGUGAGUCCAAGCCCUUGCGUGCAAACUGAGGAAGCCACAUUAGCCUAUAAAGACUUUCAGAAGAACAACAGCUGUUAAAUAUUGAUGACUGCUGGCAGGCCAUGAAUGCUCGCCGCAGAAGGUUAAGCUCUGAUGUUAUGGAGCCUAGCAGUUCAUUAUAUGAGCUAUUGUGUCCGCAGCUCCUCUCUCAACACACAGGACCAGCAUUUAUGUGACAGCAGGAGCAUAAAACAAUAUUCCGUCGACUGCGAUGAGAAGCGGCUGGGAAAACAGCAGUAUCGGUGUUGUGCACUUUCCAGAUGCUGGAGAGCAGAGAUCUGCAGCACGAACUCUAAAUACACUGAAUUUAUAAACUGUGGCUGAGGAAUGAGCUGAAACAUGUGGCCUCUACGCAAAACAAACCGUGGCACGCAACCCUCCGCCAACACACCAUUACUUCACAGUGCUCUCCUGCUUCUGGACCCAGAGCUUUAAUUCAGCGCAGUCCAAUAAAUCACUCACACGCUUCAAGACGUUCAACCAAAAUCCAUUUCUCAUUCAAAGUUUUAUUUCAGGUCCUCAGCAGAUUCUACAUCUAAUAUGUUCAUGUUAGUCUUUUACUAACCUCUAAUACAAUAGAAGUAUUUGGGUGAGCGUUUGCAUUCAUGUAAAUCAAUGAGACCACAAACCCUGUAAAACAUAAUAACUAGAUGAAAACAUCCCAAAACACACUUCCCAGACCAACUUCUAAUAAAGAGGAUGAAUUGAAUUG
rnacentral:lncRNA from 1 species